AACAGUACUGAAACAUUUCCUAAUAUAGUUAGAUUAAUUUAUUACUAAAAACUGCUUUGCUAUUGAAGUUUUCAAGAUUAAUUUAAUGCCUUUUUUUGUUGACCAAAAUUGUAAUAGUUGUAUUUAUAAGUAUAAAUAAAAAAAAGGAUAGCCUAUCACUGUAUACUAUAAAAACACAAAUUAUAUUACAGAAGUAAAUAGACAGUACAGCAGUACAAAAACAAUGAUGACAUCAACACUGCAAUAAAAAAUGUACACGAAACUACUCAUUGUACAUCAAAACAAAUAAGGGAUAAAUAACAUAUGUACAUGAAACACCAAAACAAUUUCUAAAAGACACUUAUAAAACUUUGUACACUAACAAAACCUAUCAUCAAUCAUCAAAAACAGCUUUAAAGAGAUUUUCAUUCUCUUAUUUUAGAUUAAACAAUAUAAAUUGCAUAUUGCUUGGGAUGAGAAAAUAUUAAAAAAAAAUUUCAAAAUUACUUUUUAUAGUCAUAAAAGUUUUAAUAUAAAAUUAUAUUUAAAUAUUACAUAAUUUCUAAUUAAAAGAAAAUCA